rnacentral:lncRNA from 1 species
UGGCAUCCUUACAGGUUUAUGUAAUUGUUAUGUGUAGAUAUUUAUGUGAUGCAUGAUAUGUUAUUUGGUUAUAUAUGGUAUUUGCAGGGAAGAUCCCGGGGGAAGCCCACGGCAUUAGAUGUAAGACCAUGUGGGGUAGUCCAUGGCAGUCCUAGGUAAAGACCAUGUGGGGUAGCCCAUGGCUUUGGAUGUAAGACCAUGUGGGGGAGCCCAUGGCAAUCCUAGGUAAAGACCAUGUGGGGUAGCCCAUGACACUAUUACAGAUUUUAUGUAUGCAGGGCUUAUGUGAU